UCCUGGUGUUACUUGCACUCUGUGUGUAGGU
rnacentral:piRNA from 1 species